CUUUUGCAGUGCACACGGGUGCCAUUUUGCAGUGCACAGGGGCGCCACACCUCCAUGCCUCGACGGCGCUCCAGCCCCGACCCACACUGCUGGAUCCGGUGUCCCCGGCCACGGAUCCAUGGAUCCUGCACCGGAUUCGAGCUCUUCUCGUCCACCGCCCCGCCCCCUCUCCGGUGCGCAUGAUUCAGACCAACCCCCGCGGAUCGCCUCCGCGAACUCCUCCCGACGACGGAUCCACUUGGUGGUUGGUGGCCAGCACCACUCAGCACCAUGCCUCUCCAUCCCCCGUGCCCAAACGACCUCCUCCUUCACGCCGUCACGCCCCUGACGACGAUGAGAUUUGUGUUUUUUUUGUUCUUCUGAAGAGAAAUAAGAGUGCCGAUGCAGUCCACUGUUCUUUGCUAUUGAGGUUUAUUUUACUCUCUUUUUUGCAGAAAAAUAUAGGUGAAGCAGUCCGCCCGCCUCCUCCCACGGCAAACUUGGUCGACGGACGGGAUCCUACUCCUUCCGUUUGCAUGUGAACACUGUCAUGCCUUCCUGAACGAGGUUUUUCUAGUUAAUUUUUAAAAGGAAAUCAGUUCCUUGUGGGAGGGGCAGCUGUGCAGUUCGUCUGGCCUGAGCUCUCACCUCCUCCGUGCAGUGCACACCGGUACAUGCACAGUACAUCCCCACUCCCCCCUGACGCAGCACUGCAGUUCGCAUCGCCUCCUCCCCUGUGUUGGCGCCCAUCUACAGUUAAACGCCAGAUCUCCUUCCUCUGGAUCCAGCGGCGGCGAGCUCCCCAGUCACAUCCCUCUGUCCCCAGCUCCCUCCAACUAGCAUCCUCCCUUGCCGAAGGAUACUGCUGGCAGCGUCAACAGCCCAAACAAAAAAGCGGGGAUGCCAGGCACUUCUUUCUGUGUUGUGUUUCUUUUGGAGAGAAGCCAAGAAGCAAAGAAAGAGAACAGAAGUGCACUGCACACUCGGACUAAAAAAACUUGCUGAUGCUAGUUGACGAAUCAUGCAGUUAACUUACGAAGUCCAUUUUCUUUUGAUCUCGCCAGUGCUGAUUUUCUGUGUAUAUAUGUGUGUCUAUGUAAACCAAUGGAUUGAUGUAUUGUGUCUAUGAGGAUCAUGAGCGGCCAUAGACAGUGCAGUUUUGUUAGCUCGGUUGUGCAGUACUUUUUUUGUUUUGUGCGGUUAACUUGUUUGUUAAAUUAUUCAAAGAAUGUUGGUGGGAGAUAACA